GGGCCUUUAGCUCAGCUGGUAGAGCUACGGACUUUUAAUCCGCAGGUCGCGGGUUCGAUCCCCGCAGGGCCCACCG
rnacentral:tRNA from 8 species